CAUCUGCCCACAGGACGUGAUGCCUGGGCCACGGCAGGAGCUGCUCUGUGCCUUCUGGAAGAGUGACAGCGACAGGGGAGGGCACUGGGCCACCGAGGGCUGCCAGGUGCUGGGCAGCAAGAACGGCAGCACCACCUGCCAAUGCAGCCACCUGAGCAGCUUUGCGAUCCUUAUGGCUCAUUAUGACGUGGAGGUAAGUAGCUGGAGCCAUCCUCAAGUGCCCACAGGUAAUAAGGUCCAGCUGCAACCAGACAGGCAGCUAGUUCUCCAUGGGGCCCUACUGGUUGCUCAGAUAUGUCUGCAUGGUUGCACAGCCCAGGUGUCCCCACGUCACACCCCUCGCAGCCUCUUCCUUUGGCCUCUUCUCUACAACCCAGCAACUAUACAUUGGGUGCAGCCACUAGCUCCGCUCCUCUGCCUGUCCAUCCCGUACCAUUUGUGAGAUGUCAACUAAAAGCUCCCCAUUGGAGAGCAUUCCAAGGGGGCACCACUUGCCCGUUUUUUUUUUUUUUUUUUUGAGACGGAGUUUCUGUCGCCCAGGUUGGAGUACAGUGGCACAAUCUCAGCUAGUGAGGUUCAAGGGAUUCUCCUGCCUUAGCCCCCUGAGUAGCUGAGAUUACAGGCGUGCACCACCAUGCCUGAGUAAUUUUUGGUAUUUUUAGUAGAGACAGGGUUUCACCAUGUUGCCCAGGCUAGUCUCGAACUCCUGACCUCAGGUGAUCCACCCACCUCAGCCUCUCAAAGUGCUAGGAUUACAGGCACGAGCCACCGCACCCAGCCUGGAGCACCACUUUCUGUAUGUGACUUCAGUAGGAUCCAUCGUUAAGCUGGGCCUUGUCGAAAACUGCAAUUAGCCAGGCAGAGAAGGGGGGCGCCUGCGGUCCAGGCCAAAGGCCCAGCAAGCACAAAAAUGUGAAAUCCCUAGACUCCCCUACCAGCUGG
rnacentral:sRNA from 1 species